rnacentral:rRNA from 1 species
GGCAACAGCUCAAAUUUGAAAUCUGGCCUCGGCCCGAGUUGUAAUUUGCAGAGGAUGCUUUUGGUGCGGUGCCUUCCGAGUUCCCUGGAACGGGACGCCACAGAGGGUGAGAGCCCCGUAUGGUCGGACACCAAUCCUGUGUAAAGCUCCUUCGACGAGUCGAGUAGUUUGGGAAUGCUGCUCUAAAUGGGAGGUAAAUCUCUUCUAAAGCUAAAUACCGGCCAGAGACCGAUAGCGCACAAGUAGAGUGAUCGAAAGAUGAAAAGCACCUUGAAAAGGGGGUUAAACAGUACGUGAAAUUGUUGAAAGGGAAGCACUUGUGACCAGACUUGGGCCGGGCGGCUCAUCAGGGGUUCUCCCCUGUGCAUUCCGCCCGGUACAGGCCAGCAUCGGUUCUUACCGGGGGAUAAGAACGGCAGGAACGUGGCUCCCUCUCGGGGGAGUGUUAUAGCCUGCCGUACGAUACCCUGGCGGGGACCGAGGUUCGCGCUUCCGCAAGGAUGCUGGCGUAAUGGUUACUAGUGACCCGUCUUGAAACACGGACCAAGGAGUCGUCCAUUAGAGCGAGCGUUUGGGUGUAAAACCCGCACGCGUAAUGAAAGUGAAAUUAGGUGAGAGCUUCGGCGCAUCAUCGACCGAUCCUGAUGUUCUCGGAUGGAUUUGAGUAAGAGUUUUAACGGACGGACCCGAAAGACAGUGAACUAUGCUUGUAUAGGGUGAAGCCAGAGGAAACUCUGGUGGAGGCUCGCAGCGGUUCUGACGUGCAAAUUGA